GGCCAGUGAUGUAAGGAUAAUAUUUGCUACUCUUGAUGGGAUUUUAAAACCCAAUGAUGAUUUUUAUCCACCAAGAUCUCUGAGGCC
rnacentral:snoRNA from 1 species